rnacentral:rRNA from 1 species
ACGAAGGGUGCAAGCGUUAAUCGGAAUUACUGGGCGUAAAGCGUGCGUAGGUGGUCUUUUAAGUCCGUUGUGAAAGCCCUGGGCUCAACCUGGGAAUGGCAGUGGAUACUGGAAGGCUGGAGUACGGUAGAGGAGGGUGGAAUUCCCGGUGUAGCGGUGAAAUGCGUAGAGAUCGGGAGGAACAUCAGUGGCGAAGGCGGCCCUCUGGACCAGUACUGACGCUGAGGCACGAAAGCGUGGGGAGCAAACAGGA